rnacentral:lncRNA from 1 species
AGCUGUAAGUAAAAAUCCUGUUGCUUCAGCAGGUCUAACCAGUUUCGUAAAGGGCUUAUAUUUUCUGUAAUGCUACUUCAGGCAGCAAACUUUAAACAGAUUUUUGUUUAAAUAACAUUUAAUGCAAUUCAUGUCGUUAUUCAUUGAAAUUAUUUGGAACAAGAAUUUUUAGCAAAAUUAUAUUUCACUUACAGAUAAAUCCUAUCUUGAAAACUCUUUUGUCAAACAGAUCUCCCUGAAAGCAAUGCUAACACAGCAACUGUGGUGCUGCUUAGAAGGUUGAAUUUCUGUGAAUAUCCAACAAAAUCAUUUUGGCUGUCUCCAAGAGAGCACUAUGUGAGCCAGCUGUCCUGGAUUCCUCCUGCUGUCAACAGUUAAGCAGCAGGUAUUUUGGAGAGGGGAGUCAUUAGGCCUCAUUCAAAUCUAUUGAAUGGUUUUAUCUUGGAAAAGAUUUCUAUUUUCAUUGUGUCUGUGUGCAUGGAGUGUCUGUGACUGACUUUGCAUUGAAGAUGUAACUCUGCUAAAACCAUCUGUGAAAAUAUUAGGAGAAUGGGUCAGCUUCUUUCUUGCAGGGUCACAUGCUGCUGUCCAACUAGUCAAAACUAACACUGCAGCUGAAACAAGCAGCCUGUCUGCUCUGUGAGGUGUGUCAGCUCUUCUCAAAGCACUGUUCCCACCCUCGACUAAUCUAGAAUGAUUUGGUCUGAUCUGGAGAGACUAACUGAAGAGGGUCUUUGCAUGAAGCAGUAGAUAAGACUGUCAUCUCCUAAUGAAUUUGAGGUAGCAU